AAGAUGCUUUAGAUUAGAAGCCAGGCAGGCAGUAGCCUGAAUCGAGCACUGCAUGGAGCAAGGACAGAUACACAGCACCCCAAUCCAGGAGUUUCUCUUUCCCAUUUCCUUUUUGCACAGGAUUUUCUUCAAGGAGACUGCACCAAAGCAAAACAAAAACUAAAGUGGAAGCCUCGGGUCGCUUUUGAUGAACUGGUGAAAGAGAUGGUCGAGGCUGAUGUAGCUCUCAUGAAGCACAACCCCAAUGCCUAAGCUGACUUCUGGUCCCUGUCGGGGCGGCUGGUCUCCUGAAGAGAUGUGAUCACCUUACCCAACCCUCAGGAGGGUUAGGGUGGAGGGAUCAUUUUUCCCUUGUAAUCAAUCGGUGGAGGGUAUCUGACUGCAGAAGAGGGGCUGACAAUUGAUGUAGUGGAGGAGAGGAAGAUUUAGUCACGUCCAACACUGAUUUUUUUCCCCCAAUUCUCCGAUGCCAUUGAUUGUCUCUCCUUCUCUGGAAAAAAAAAAGAAUCUUUCACUCCCAGAAAACUGUAAAAUCGAAACUGUGACCACUCCAAUGCUUGGUUCCACAAUUAUCUCAUUAUAGAUGCUUUAUCUGAAGGAUUUUAUGUAAUUGAUAGGAUGGUUUUAAUCACAAAUCAUUCAUUUUGCUUAAAAUUACGUUGUAAGACAACAGAAAUUAGGGGGCCUUUAAAUUGUCUUCUUUUUUCUUAUUAAACUGGUCUUUCUACAAAUCAGGA